AGUGAACGCUGGCGGUAGGCCUAACACAUGCAAGUCGAACGGCAGCACAGUAAGAGCCUGCUCUUACGGGUGGCGAGUGGCGGACGGGUGAGGAAUACAUCGGAAUCUACUUUUUCGUGGGGGAUAACGUAGGGACACUUACGCUAAUACCGCAUACGACCUACGGGUGAAAGCAGGGGAUCUUCGGACCUUGCGCGAUUGAAUGAGCCGAUGUCGGAUUAGCUAGUUGGCGGGGUAAAGGCCCACCAAGGCGACGAUCCGUAGCUGGUCUGAGAGGAUGAUCAGCCACACUGGAACUGAGACACGGUCCAGACUCCUACGGGAGGCAGCAGUGGGGAAUAUUGGACAAUGGGCGCAAGCCUGAUCCAGCCAUACCGCGUGGGUGAAGAAGGCCUUCGGGUUGUAAAGCCCUUUUGUUGGGAAAGAAAAGCAGCAGGUUAAUACCCCGCUGUUCUGACGGUACCCAAAGAAUAAGCACCGGCUAACUUCGUG
rnacentral:rRNA from 1 species